rnacentral:rRNA from 1 species
UACGUAGGGGGCGAGCGUUGUCCGGAUUUAUUGGGCGUAAAGAGCUCGUAGGCGGUUUGGUAAGUCGGGUGUGAAAUCUCCACGCUCAACGUGGAGGGGCCACUCGAUACUGCCAUGACUCGAGUCCGGUAGAGGAGUGUGGAAUUCCUAGUGUAGAGGUGAAAUUCGUAGAUAUUAGGAAGAACACCGGUGGCGAAGGCGGCCCACUGGAUCGGUACUGACGCUGAGGUGCGAAAGCGUGGGGAGCAAACAGG